CAGCAUUCAGUUGGGCACUCUAAGGUGACUGCCGGCUAAAAGUCGGAGGAAGGUGGGGAUGACGUCAAAUCAUCAUGCCCCUUAUGACCUGGGCUACACACGUGCUACAAUGGGCGGUACAAAGGGUCGCGAACCCGCGAGGGGGAGCCAAUCCCAAAAAGCCGCUCUCAGUUCGGAUUGCAGGCUGCAACUCGCCUGCAUGAAGCCGGAAUCGCUAGUAAUCGCGGAUCAGCAUGCCGCGGUGAAUACGUUCCC
rnacentral:rRNA from 1 species